rnacentral:lncRNA from 1 species
CGCAAGAAAGACUCCGCCCGGACUCCUACGGGAGCCGGGCUCCAUCACAAACUCCAACUGCGGGAAGACUCCGCUCGGACUCCUAUGGGAGCCGGGCUCCGUCACCAACUCCAACUGCGGGAAGACUCCGCUCGGACUCCUACGGGAGUCGGGCUCCGUCCACGGCUUCAACCGCAAGAAAGACUCCGCCCAGACUCCUACAGAAGCCGGGCUCCGUCACCAACUCCAACUGCGGGAAGAUUUCGCCCAGACUCCUAUGAGAGCCGGGCUCCAUCACCAACUCCAACUGUGGGAAGACUCCGCCCGGACUCCUACGGUAGCCUGGCUCCGUCCACGGC